rnacentral:rRNA from 1 species
UACGUAGGGACCAAGCGUUGUCCGGAAUCAUUGGGCGUAAAGGGCUCGUAGGCGGCCAACUAAGUCAUACGUGAAAUCCCUCGGCUUAACCGGGGAACUGCGUCUGAUACUGGAUGGCUUGAGUUCGGGAGAGGGAUGCGGAAUUCCUGGUGUAGCGGUGGAAUGCGCAGAUAUCAGGAGGAACACCGGUGGCGAAGGCGGGUCUCUGGGCCGAUACUGACGCUGAGGAGCGAAAGCGUGGGGAGCGAACAGG